rnacentral:rRNA from 1 species
AUACGUAGGUGACAAGCGUUAUCCGGAUUUACUGGGCGUAAAGGGCGUGUAGGCGGUCUUGCAAGUCAGAAGUGAAAUUCCUGAGCUCAACUCGGGCGCUGCUUCUGAAACUGCAGGACUUGAGUGCUGGAGGGGAUAGCGGAAUUCCUAGUGGAGCGGUAAAAUGCGCAGAUAUUAGGAAGAACACCGGUGGCGAAGGCGGCUAUCUGGACAGUAACUGACGCUGAGGCGCGAAAGCGUGGGGAGCAAACAGGAUUAGAUACCCUGUUAGUCCACGCCGUAAACGAUGAAUACUAGGUGUAGGGGGUAUCGACUCCCUCUGUGCCGCAGUUAACACAAUAAGUAUUCCGCCUGGGGAGUACGGCCGCAAGGCUAAAACUCAAAGGAAUUGACGGGG